rnacentral:lncRNA from 1 species
CUACAUCAGUGGAAUCUUCCAAGAUUCUGGAAAUGUAAACAGCUGUUCAAUUUUCUCUGUGUUCAUGGUGGAUACACCAAAAACCAAUCAGUACCUUUCUGGGUCAUUGAGUACUUUCUGCUGCAGUAAUCUAUGCCAAGAGAACAUUGUGUCUCCGGGCUCGUCACAAUGGGAUACUUUUGCUGCUGGUCCCCCGCUUAGGCUUACCUCAGCCUCCAAAACAGACAACUGCUGAUAGCCCACUGUCACUCCAGAAAUACAGCUGGCUUCUUCCUCGCUGUAUCCUAAUGACAUUAGGGUGGGUACAUUUUGCCCUGAAGUCCACCCGAGCUUUAGACUUCUGUGGACCUGGUGUCCCAUGCAGCCAGACAGAUCCACACAGUCCUUCAAAACCAAUUACCCAUUUCCUUCUUUUGGCAUAAGCCAGAGAACUUGCGCUCCUGGUCAGAGUAUUCACUGCGUGACCAUUGCAGUGCCAGAAGUCCUUUCACCACAAUCAUGGCACACUCAGUCUUCUUCCUGUGUGUAGAGAAUCACUGUUUGCCUUCUAUUGUCUCAGCAGCAGCUGGAGUGACAGUCUUCUUGGAAGACCCUUUCUUCAUUGCUGUCUUCCUCCCCAGUUUGCAGAUGUGGGCUUGUAGCUUCAAGGGAAUACUGAGAGUUUGGAGUCUUUAAAAAAGAGGAGACAGUACCAAAACCAGGAGUUAUCAAAAGGAAGGAGGAGAUUUUAAAAGAAGAAGGUGAAGACCUUGGCUGCAGCAAGGACCCUGUCAGUGAGAAAAGUCACUAAAAGUCACAGACCUGUGUGGAGAACACCAGGGAUGCUUGGUACCAAGUGCCUGAGACAGGGAGCAGACAUCAGGAACAAACACAAAUUUCCACCGAGUAUCUCAUGCCAUCUUCCUGCUGGGAAGGAAUGUUUUGGACAUAGAGGAGGCCGGGCAUGAGCAAGUGACACAAGCAAUGUAAAAGCUCUGAUCUUGUAACUUAAAUCCAGUAUACAGGUUCCCUACAGGUUUUCAUUCUGUCUAACCCUUAGCACUGCUCAAUAUAUAUGAUUCCAUGUCUGAUACUGAAAGACCUUGAAGAAAAGGCUUGAAAAUAUGUAAAAAUUAGGAAGUUAUACAUGAAAGUUGUUUUUAUCUGCUGAAAAUGAAAUAAACUACUGGAUGAAUAGCCUUUGCCCUCUUUC